GUGUCAGCAGCCGCGGUAAGACGAACCAAGCGAACGUUAUUCGGAAUUACUGGGCUUAAAGCGCGUGUAGGCGGAUGACCACGUCAGUCGUUGAAAUCCCCCGGCUCAACCGGGGAACAGGCGCUGAUACGAGUUGUCUGGAGGUGGGUAGGGGAGACUGGAACUUCCGGUGGAGCGGUGAAAUGCGUUGAGAUCGGAAGGAACGCCCGCGGCGAAAGCGAGUCUCUGGACCCAUUCUGACGCUGAGACGCGAAAGCCAGGGGAGCAAACGGGAUUAGAUACCCCGGUAGUCCUGGCUGUAAACAUUGGGCACUGGGUAGUGGAACCGCCGAUGGUUUCACUGCCGCAGGGAAACCGUGAAGUGCCCCGCCUGGGGAGUAUGGUCGCAAGGCUGAA
rnacentral:rRNA from 1 species